AGCAGAAAGAGAAUGAUGGGAUUUGGACGUUAGUCACACUUUGUUCUACCACUUCCUGACUAUAAAGGAUAUUGGCAGUGAUCAGAGGUCCCAAGAUGGCUGAAUAGGAACAGCUCCAGUCUACACCUCCCAGGGACACUGGAAUCCCUGCUGUGGAUCUCCUGGGCCCAGCACCACAAGAAGCUCUUACCACGGGAACACACAGUCCCUGUGCCAAGCAUAUUCAUGCAAGAGCUGAAAAGAAAACAGCCAAGCUCUUUCUGACCCGACUUUUCCUGGAGGGAUGCUGUGGACUGAGGAAGAGUCUCCCCACCCUAGCUCAAGCAAAAAGCCCUGGGACUUUCAAAGAAUCUUAGUGACAGAAGGAAUUUUGAGGUUUCACUGAAGCUUCUCAUUUUCCAGGUAAUGCCAGUGACUUGCCCCAAGCCACGCUGCCGGUCUGGGUGGGAACUCUGGUCUGUGGUUUCCAGCUCAUGCUCCAUCCCACUCAAGGAAGCUCCUUGAAGCCAUCCAUCAAGAUCCAGCACAGUGACCUCCUCCUCUGUGACGCCUCCUCCACCAACUCUCCUUAAC